UACAGAGGUCUCAAGCGUUGUUCGGAUUCAUUGGGCGUAAAGGGUGUGUAGGUGGCGCCGUAAGUCGGGUGUGAAAUUUCGAGGCUUAACCUCGAAACUGCAUUCGAUACUGCGGUGCUUGAGGACUGGAGAGGAGACUGGAAUUCAUGGUGUAGCAGUGAAAUGCGUAGAUAUCAUGAGGAAGACCAGUGGCGAAGGCGGGUCUCUGGACAGUUCCUGACGCUGAGGCACGAAGGCCAGGGGAGCAAACGGG
rnacentral:rRNA from 1 species